AGUGAACGCUGGCGGUAGGCCUAACACAUGCAAGUCGAACGGCAGCACAGUAAGAGCUUGCUCUUACGGGUGGUGAGUGGCGGACGGGUGAGGAAUACAUCGGAAUCUACUUUUUCGUGGGGGAUAACGUAGGGAAACUUACGCUAAUACCGCAUACGACCUACGGGUGAAAGCAGGGGAUCUUCGGACCUUGCGCGAUUGAAUGAGCCGAUGUCGGAUUAGCUAGUUGGCGGGGUAAAGGCCCACCAAGGCGACGAUCCGUAGCUGGUCUGAGAGGAUGAUCAGCCACACUGGAACUGAGACACGGUCCAGACUCCUACGGGAGGCAGCAGUGGGGAAUAUUGGACAAUGGGCGCAAGCCUGAUCCAGCCAUACCGCGUGGGUGAAGAAGGCCUUCGGGUUGUAAAGCCCUUUUGUUGGGAAAGAAAAGCAGCAGGUUAAUACCCCGCUGUUCUGACGGUACCCAAAGAAUAAGCACCGGCCAACUUCGUG
rnacentral:rRNA from 1 species